AGUGAACGCUGGCGGUAGGCCUAACACAUGCAAGUCGAACGGCAGCACAGUAAGAGCUUGCUCUUACGGGUGGCGCGUGGCGGACGGGUGCGGAAUACAUCGGAAUCUACUUUUUCGUGGGGGAUAACGUAGGGAAACUUACGCUAAUACCGCAUACGACCUACGGGUGAAAGCAGGGGAUCUUCGGACUUUGCGCGAUUGAAUGAGCCGAUGUCGGAUUAGCUAGUUGGCGGGGUAAAGGCCCACCAAGGCGACGGUCCGUAGCUGGUCUGAGAGGAUGAUCAGCCACACGGGAACUGAGACACGGUCCAGACUCCUACGGGAGGCAGCAGUGGGGAAUAUUGGACAAUGGGCGCAAGCCUGAUCCAGCCAUACCGCGUGGGUGAAGAAGGACUUCGGGUUGUAAAGCCCUUUUGUUGGGAAAGAAGAGCAGUAGGUUAAUACCGCGCUGUUCUGACGGUACCCAAAGAAGAAGCACCGGCUAACUUCGUG
rnacentral:rRNA from 1 species